GCAACUGCAUUGUUGUGAAAAUUGUGAAUGUUUAAUUUAGUCUUUUUACAUGAUUAUAGGUUUCCUUGAAGUUUCUUGACUGGUGACAUUGUUAUCUAGAUAUGGUCACAUGAAGGCUGAAUUUGAGUUAUUAUAAAGAAGAUAUAUUGGCUCUGAUAGUGAUAAACGGCUAAUACUCAUUUUGUCUACACCUCUUCUUGCCAGAUCUAAAUAGACCUCGCUUUUAUUAUUGUUCCAAUUACAUUGGACAGCUGAUAGAUUUGAAUCUUGACGAGUAGGAAAGUUGGCCAUGGCAACGUGCUAUGCCUUAAUCUGUAUGUAAUCUCCUUAAUGUGUCAAUGGUGAACAUGGAAGAAAGUCUGUUAGCUAUGUCCAAAUAAGGUUCCUCGAAGAUCUGUUUUCAUCAAUCUGAGCUGUAUCCCUUUCAAUUUGAUUUGAACUAUCAAAUUUGGAUAUCAAUUCUCUUCAGCUCAUAGGGGCAGACAAGAUGUGCUUAUCCUUAAUCUUUGGAGAAGCGAAGAAAAAAAAUAUGAUGAUGGUAUUAAAGAAUGCACAAAAGCAUUGGAGCUAAACCUUAACUACAUAAGUGUUUUGCUAAGAAGAGCAGAGGUGUAUGAAAAGUUGUAACAAUUUGAAGAGACUAUAGCAGAUAUGACAAAGGUUUUGGAAGUUGACCCAUCAUAUGAUCAAGCUAGAAGACAGAUUGUUCGCUUGAAGCCAUUAGCAGAUGAAAAACGUCAAAAGAUGAAGGAAGAAAUGAUUGUUGACCAUUGGUGGUAUGAACUUCUUUGGGUAGUUGCUGUUAAAUGAUUCUUUUUUGCUCUUCACGUGUAAAUAUAGGAAUGCUUCAUUUUUGCAAAAGAAAAUGUGUUCUAGGGGAGAAGAGUGGAGGAGGAGGAGAGGAUCUGGAAUUUUUGCAAAAGUAAAAGGAGCUAGUGUGAGCUGAGGUGGCUAGUGCAUUCGGAAGAUUCUGGAGGAAGGGGAAGGUUAAUGUGAGCAGAUAAAGCUUUGCUUCAGGUGCUGCUAAAGAAUAGAUGCUUGUGGAAGUGGACAAACGAUUACUGAGAUUAGCAAAAGGAUGGUUUAAGGGAAAUGUAAGCUGAGGGAAAUUGGAAAUUGCAAUUCUGGUCAAUUUGGAAUGAGCGCUGACAAUUUCAAAGCUGUGAAAGAUCCAAACACUGGUUCAUAUUCUAUUCCAUUUCAGUGCUAAUAUCUUUUACAAACUUCACAUAUAUUCUUUAGUUUCUGGAGCUAUGGAUCAAAUGGACUGAAAUCUUAAAGAGGAUGAAGCACGUUUCCUCACAGUGUUGAUCUCAGUCGUAUGAUUAUGUUUUUACAUAUAACUUGAGAAAAAGAAAUUGAUGUGGUUUUUUGCC